GUACUCGCUCGGUGCCGCUCACUAGCCCGGGGAGGGUGUUAUUUUUUUCCGCCGCUCUCCUAUAACAAUCCUGCCAGCCUGUGAGGGGGGAGACAAUGAAAACCGAGCAGCCGAGCAAUUACCCGCCAGAGGGGGGGUCCUGCAAUUCCGCAAAACAGCCCGCCGCCAUGGCUGCCCGGCCGUCGCAAGGCAGGCCGGGGAUUGGAGUCCACGGCCCCGCGGCUAGGACGUUCAGGGGAUAGGAGACGCUGGGGGAUAGAAGACUACGACUCCCAGGGUACACCACGCCAACUGCACCUGAUGCGCAGGCCGCCAGGGACGCCGUUAAAAACGAGAGCGCACGCGCUUAGACGCGCGUGGGCUGUUGGGGGAUGUAGUCUGUAGGUCGCGGAGGCGAAGUUAAAGGAACGCAGAGUGGGUGCGCGAGCCUUCAGCGAUAUUGUAGUUUUCGUGUGUUUUGCGUCCUUAUGGACAGAUAGAAAGGGAGCAGCGUGGGGAACUACAAAUACCGGCAUGCAACACCUGCAGCUUGUUUAUAGCCUCAAAAUGGUGGUUUGCUGAGAUGUUGUUGGAGCCUGUGUUCAGAAACUAAUAAUUUCACUGAGGAGUGUGUGGGUUUUUGAUAUAGUAGAUAUCCCACAGCAUAACUAAAACAUCGCAUAUUGUCCCGUUGGAAAUGAGGUUCCUGCCAUCUCCCUGAAAGUACAGGUAGAAUAGAAGAGCUUGCUACUGAUGUUGGAUAUUUGAACGCUUACGACAGAAUAAAGUGAGACUAUUUUGAAGGUUGUCGAUUACAGUUGGUUUAUUACUUAAACUGUAAUUUACAUGGAUGUAAGCUAUUACGAUCAAUUCUGUUACUUUUGUGUAUUUGUGCCCCCUUUUAAUGUCUUUCUGUUUUUUAUUGAUUUUGUGUACAUUAUAAAAAGUUGGUUGAGCUGAG